CAGUCGCCACGGGAAUACGAAGGGGGCUAGCGUUGCUCGGAAUGACUGGGCGUAAAGGGCGCGUAGGCGGCGGCCAAAGUCAGGCGUGAAAUUCCCGGGCUCAACCUGGGGGCUGCGUUUGAUACUUGGUUGCUUGAGUGGGGAAGAGGGUCGUGGAAUUCCCAGUGUAGAGGUGAAAUUCGUAGAUAUUGGGAAGAACACCGGUGGCGAAGGCGGCGACCUGGUCCUUUACUGACGCUGAGGCGCGAAAGCGUGGGGAGCAAACAGGAUUAGAUACCCCAGUAGUCCCUGUCUCUUAUAC
rnacentral:rRNA from 1 species